rnacentral:lncRNA from 1 species
AUGAACAGCCGUACCAGUUCAAGAUGGGUGGGCGGUAAGCAAGUGGUUCAACUUUGGCCGGGUAGCUGAAUCGGGUCACAGACAGACAAACAGAAAUACAGACAGAACAAAAUUUCUGCGUUCAAGU